ensembl:lncRNA
CCCCCCAAAGAAAAAUAAUUUAAAAGCAAGAAAAUCCAAGAAAUCAGUGUCACCUCAUUGCUGUAAGCUCUCCAAUAGGGUUUUAUUCUCCCUCCCCUCUUCUGGCUUUUAUUUUAUUAGGAUUAUUUUUCUGUCUCCGCUCCUUCCAAUCAGGGGAGAAUCGCUCAAAGCGAAAGCAAAAGGUUUGGAAGGGAGAGGAGAGGGAUGCACUGCGCUGAGCACACAGCACUGUCCGGGAGCGGGCGGACAUGGGAAGGAGCAUUCAGCCCCGAAAAGAUUGAAAAGAGGAGGUGAGAGGCAAAGCUGUGAGUCUGCCUGGAAAGGGACCCGGUGGUUCACCAUCAUUUCGAGAAGAGAUCAUCUCCCCUCCAAGAGGGCAACCGGAGCUUUUGCGGAGCACAAACGCUGCGAGAUAACCUUGCAGGAGCUGAAGGCGAUGGCAAAGCGUGCUGUAAUUGCGGUGCGGAUCUUUGCUCGUGCUUCUGCCAGGAGGAAUGCUCGGGAUCCCGCUGCUCUGAGCGGACUUUGAUUCGCGUAACUUUGCGCGCAGCCACCAGGGAUGGCUUCGGGUCGAGAGGAGCGCGGACAGAGAGUGUUUUGCGGGGGGUUCGCGUCGUGGUUUGGGAUUCCGCAGCGCAGAGGGGGGAGAGGACGCUGCGUUAACCCGCGUCUGUAGUUUGCUGUAAGGUGAAGAGUCUCCAUCUCCGCCUCGCACUGCUCGGUGCACUCCCCGAAUGGAAGGGGUUUGUACGGCAAUCGCGAUCGUUUCCCUCGUGUGUGUGCGGGUGUGAGUGUGCGCGGAGCCCACGGCGACGCGGGGAGCGAAGCGCUCCGUGCAAUGGAGGUUCCCGUGUAAAUAAAAGAAAUCUUCAGCAGAUAUGUUCGCCUUUGUGUGCCACCACCAAAACGCCCCAUCCACGACUCAUUCCGUGACCUUGCCUGCUCGCAUGAAGGCUCCAAAAACUGCUGCUCCUCAUUAGGGCUGCGCUGCUUGGGUAAUUUCUGCUCGUUUUGCGGUUCGUCUGUGGUGUAUUCUGACAUAUUUCUCCCCUGGAAAACGUCCCCACUGACUCUCAGUGCUCCUCUCCCCCCAUGCUCAGCCCUUUCUCUCUCCUUCUCCCUCUGCCUCUUUCUCUUCCCCUCUCUCCCCUUCUGCACAUACACACAACCCUUCUUUGUAGGGAUUCUCCCAGAUAUUCCACCGGUUUGGGAAAGCCAAGCUGCUUUCACGUCACUCCCUGCAUCUCAG